UACGUAGGGGGCAAGCGUUAUCCGGAUUUACUGGGUGUAAAGGGAGCGUAGACGGCAGCGCAAGUCUGAUGUGAAAGCCCACGGCUUAACCGUGGAGGGUCAUUGGAAACUGGUUGACUUGAGUGCAGAAGAGGGAAGUGGAAUUCCAUGUGUAGCGGUGAAAUGCGUAGAGAUAUGGAGGAACACCAGUGGCGAAGGCGGCUUCCUGGUCUGCAACUGACACUGAGGCGCGAAAGCGUGGGGAGCAAACAGG
rnacentral:rRNA from 1 species